rnacentral:misc_RNA from 1 species
ACUCCUCCACCCUCUCCUUUUUCGAAAGGUGUUGGGCUGGGAUUUGGGAGCUUGCAGGUCCCUGGCCGAUCUGCUCUCCUUGAAUACAUUAGCGAAGCCCUUGCGGCCUUGGUGUGAUAGUCAUCUACGCCUCGGCUUAGCGAACUUAUGGGAGUCGCUUCUAAUCGUCUCGCAAGAGACAACUUUUACCA